GGAUCCAGACUUUGAUUCUGGCUCAUGACGAACGCUGGCGGCGUGCUUAACACAUGCAAGUCGAACGAGAAUCUACUGAAGGAGGAUUCGUCCAACGGAAGUAGAGGAAAGUGGCGGACGGGUGAGUAACGCGUGAGGAACCUGCCUUGAAGAGGGGGACAACAGUUGGAAACGACUGCUAAUACCGCAUGACGCAUAGAGGUCGCAUGAUCUUUAUGCCAAAGAUUUAUCGCUUCAAGAUGGCCUCGCGUCUGAUUAGCUGGUUGGCGGGGUAACGGCCCACCAAGGCGACGAUCAGUAGCCGGACUGAGAGGUUGAACGGCCACAUUGGGACUGAGAUACGGCCCAGACUCCUACGGGAGGCAGCAGUGGGGAAUAUUGGGCAAUGGGCGCAAGCCUGACCCAGCAACGCCGCGUGAAGGAAGAAGGCUUUCGGGUUGUAAACUUCUUUUAAGAGGGAAGAGCAGAAGACGGUACCUCUAGAAUAAGCCACGGCUAACUACGUGCCAGCAGCCGCGGUAAUACGUAGGUGGCAAGCGUUGUCCGGAUUUACUGGGUGUAAAGGGCGUGCAGCCGGGUCUGCAAGUCAGAUGUGAAAUCCAUGGGCUCAACCCAUGAACUGCAUUUGAAACUGUAGAUCUUGAGUGUCGGAGGGGCAAUCGGAAUUCCUAGUGUAGCGGUGAAAUGCGUAGAUAUUAGGAGGAACACCAGUGGCGAAGGCGGAUUGCUGGACGAUAACUGACGGUGAGGCGCGAAAGUGUGGGGAGCAAACAGGAUUAGAUACCCUGGUAGUCCACACUGUAAACGAUGAAUACUAGGUGUGUGGGGACUGACCCCCUGCGUGCCGCAGUAAACACAAUAAGUAUUCCACCUGGGGAGUACGAUCGCAAGGUUGCAACUCAAAUGAAUUGACGGA
rnacentral:rRNA from 1 species